rnacentral:tRNA from 1 species
UAUUUACAUUAUUACAAUAUUACAAAUGCUAGUGUAGCUUAACGUAAAGCAUAACACUGAAGAUGUUAAAAUGAACCCUACAAAGUUCCACAAGCAUAAAAGCUUG